GUCUAUAGCACGGAUUUUAGGUUGCAACUUGAAUAUUUUUAAUUGAUCAAUAAAGUGUAUAUUUAAAUUCUGUUUAGAGCGAAAAAACUUAUGAUUUUACAAAGGUGUUUAAUUUUUUUUUAUACAUGCGCAACUUUUAUACCGGACCGGCAAUUUCGCUCUGGUUUACAAUCAGUGCGCUUUUCCUUAAAGGAAAUCCGACUGGGGAGGUACUUUAAGGAGGUCGUUUUUUUG